rnacentral:rRNA from 1 species
AUGCCCUCGGUCGGCGACGCCUCCAGCCGCGACGCCCUCCGCCUGCGCGGGCUCCUCGACGACUCAGCGGACAGCCCUGGUCUGACGAUCCCCUCAACCGGCACCCCCCUGGUGGAUUUUCCGGACGCAGCGGAAUACCACGUCGUCGUCGGCUUGGGUACUCCGGCGCAGAACAUCACCGUGGGAUUCGACACGGCCACCGUCGGAGCCACGCUUCUCCAGUGCAAGCCAUGCGCCGCCGGGGACCCAUGCGACAAGGUCUUCGACCCCUCCCACUCAUCAUCCCUUUACGACAUUCCAUGCGGCAGGACAUGGGAAGGCUGCCCCUUUACCCGUUGCUCCACCCCCGGCUGCACGUUCCGCGUGACACACAAUGGCUCCCUCGUGUUGAACGCGUCCAUGGAGAAGGACACCCUCACGGUGGCGCCGUCGGUCCACGUGCGCGGCUUCAGGUUCCUUUGCCUGGAGAUGAUGAGCGAGGUGCCGACGGACGGCACGUCGGGAGUCCUCGACCUCAGCAGGAACCACUACUCGCUGGCCUCACAGGUCCUUCUGUCCCCAGACACGGUCGCCUUCUCCUACUGCCUGCCGAGGGGCGCCGAGUCCCAGGGCUUCCUCUCCUUCGGUACCAUCCGGCCGGAGCUCGCCGGCCGCAGUGUGAGCUACGCCACCCUGCACAGCAGAGCCCCUCGCCGGAACCUCUACUUACUGAGGCUCACCGGCGUGAGCAUCGACGGGCUGGACCUCCCGAUCGCCGCCCAGGCGCUCGCCAGCGACGCGCUGAUCGAGGUGCAGACGACCUUCACCUACCUGAAGCCGCGCGUGUACGAGUACCUGCGCGACCUGUUCAGGUAUGCUAUGAGCAAUUACAAGGUGGCGCCGGCGUCGGGCGAGCUCGACACGUGCUACGACUUCACCGACAUGGAUGCCAUCGGUGUGCCGAGCAUCACGCUCAGCUUCGAGGGCGGGGCGAGCCUGGAGCUCGGAUUGGAGCAGAUGAUGUACUUCAGCAACCCCCACAACAUCUUCUCGGUGGCGUGCCUCGCGUUCGCGCCGGCGCGGGCGUACGGGUCGGGCGUCGCGGUCAUCGGGUCGCUGGCGCAGGCGUACACGGAGGUGGUCUACGAUCUGCGUGGAGGCAAGGUUGGGUUCGUCGACAACCGCUGCUGA